rnacentral:lncRNA from 1 species
ACUGGACUUUCAAGCACGCCCUUGCUCUACCAUAUAAUGAUAAUUUAAUUAUGUUUUAAUUAAACUUGACCAAUUUUGAGUCAAUAAUUUUGAAUCUAUAGGGCCUCUGAAAUGAUAUUAUUUUAGCAAGUUACAUAUGUUGUAAAGAAGGCAAGCGUGGCAAAUACUACUUCUCUAGACAUUUUAUCGAGCAUUUGGUGAGCACAAUAGUACUCAAUCUAUUUUGGCACAUGAAACAACUGAAUAUCUGAUGGACAAAUUAGCGAGCAAGAAAUAGCAAGCAAGGAGAAGCACACGGAAUCGUUGUGCCAACAGGUGCGGGUAGUGGUGGAGAUGGGAGGGUGGCCUGACCUGAUCUUGAUGAGGAACUCGUGGCUUCUUGCACGACCCACGCAAGGCCAUCCACUGCUGACACUGGGAUGGUGGCCUCGAGAAGCACCGUUGUGAGGAGUGUCAGGGCGACACCAUGGGUUCCCAUGGUCAUAAUCUACAGCAACCGAAGGCAGAGCCAAUGACAGGCAUGAUGAAUAGAUGGGGCUUCCGUGGAAGGAGAAAGGGAGAAAGAGGCGAGGCCGUGGGAGGCCGGCAUGGGCGACGACGGCCAUGGGCGGAGCGAAGUUAGGUGGUCGGAGGGGAGGGCGGCAUGGGCGUGACGAAUUGUCGGAGGAAGAAACUGUGGCCGCCCAUUGGGAGAGGU